CAGAUUGCAGGCUGCAACUCGCCUGCAUGAAGUCGGAACUGCUAGUAAUCGCAGAUCAGCAUGCUGCGGUGAAUACGUUCCCGGGCCUUGUACACACCGCCCGUCACACCAUGGGAGUCGGUAACACCCGAAGUCGGUAGCCUAACCGUAAGGAGGGCGCCGCCGAAGGUGGGAUUGAUGACUGGGGUGAAGUCGUAACAAGGUAUC
rnacentral:rRNA from 1 species